rnacentral:rRNA from 1 species
GACGAACGCUGGCGGCGUGCUUAACGCAUGCAAGUCGAACGGAAAGGCCCUGCUUUUGUGGGGUGCUCGAGUGGCGAACGGGUGAGUAACACGUGAGUAACCUGCCCUUGACUUUGGGAUAACUUCAGGAAACUGGGGCUAAUACCGGAUAGGAGCUCCUGCUGCAUGGUGGGGGUGGGAAAGUUUCGGCGGUUGGGGAUGGACUCGCGGCUUAUCAGCUUGUUGGUGGGGUAGUGGCUUACCAAGGCGUUGACGGGUAGCCGGCCUGAGAGGGUGACCGGCCACAUUGGGACUGAGAUACGGCCCAGACUCCUACGGGAGGCAGCAGUGGGGAAUAUUGCAAGAUGGGCGGAAGCCUGAUGCAGCAACGCCGCGUGCGGGAUGACGGCCUUCGGGUUGUAAACCGCUUUCGCCUGUGACGAAGCGUGAGUGACGGUAACGUGUAAAGAAGCACCGGCUAACUACGUG